rnacentral:rRNA from 1 species
GACGAACGCUGGCGGCGUGCUUAACACAUGCAAGUCGAGCGGUAAGGCCCUUUCGGGGGUACGACGAGCGGCGAACGGGUGAGUAACACGUGGGUGACCUCGCCCUCCAGCUCUGGGAGUAAGCCUGGGAAACUGGGUCUAAUACUGGAUAUGACUCCACGGUGCAUGUCGUGGGGUGGAAAGCCUUGUGCGGCUGAGGAUGGGCCCGCGGCCUAUCAGCUUGUUGGUGGGGUGAGGCCUACCAAGGCGACGACGGGUAGCCGGCCUGAGAGGGCGACCGGCCACACUGGGACGUGAGACACGGCCCAGACUCCUACGGGAGGCAGCAGUGGGGAAGUCUUGCGCAAUGGGCGAAAGCCUGACGCAGCGACGCCGCGUGAGUGAUGACGGCCU